rnacentral:rRNA from 1 species
CAGCAGUAGCCACGGUAAUACAGAGGGUGCGAGCGUUAAUCGGAUUUACUGGGCGUAAAGCGUGCGUAGGCGGCUUUUUAAGUCGGAUGUGAAAUCCCUGAGCUUAACUUAGGAAUUGCAUUCGAUACUGGGAAGCUAGAGUAUGGGAGAGGAUGGUAGAAUUCCAGGUGUAGCGGUGAAAUGCGUAGAGAUCUGGAGGAAUACCGAUGGCGAAGGCAGCCAUCUGGCCUAAUACUGACGCUGAGGUACGAAAGCAUGGGGAGCAAACAGGAUUAGAUACCCCAGUAGUCCCUGUCUCUUAUAC